ACGCGUGGAACCUUACCAGGUCUUGACAUCCCGCUGACCGGUCUGGAGACAGAUCUUCCCCUUCGGGGGCAGCGGUGACAGGUGGUGCAUGGUUGUCGUCAGCUCGUGUCGUGAGAUGUUGGGUUAAGUCCCGCAACGAGCGCAACCCUUGAUCUUAGUUGCCAGCAUUCAGUUGGGCACUCUAAGGUGACUGCCGGUGACAAACCGGAGGAAGGUGGGGAUGACGUCAAAUCAUCAUGCCCCUUAUGACCUGGGCUACACACGUGCUACAAUGGAUGGUACAAAGGGCUGCAAGACCGCGAGGUUUAGCCAAUCCCAUAAAACCAUUCUCAGUUCGGAUUGUAGGCUGCAACUCGCCUACAUGAAGCCGGAAUCGCUAGUAAUCGCGGAUCAGCAUGCCGCGGUGAAUACGUUCCCGGGCCUUGCACUCACCGCCCGU
rnacentral:rRNA from 1 species